AGUGCCUUUGGUUGCUGGAGGGAAGAACACAAUGGAUCUGGUGCUAAAAAGAUGCCUUCUUCAUUUGGCUGUGAUAGGUGCUUUGCUGGCUGUGGGGGCUACAAAAGUACCCAGAAACCAGGACUGGCUUGGUGUCUCAAGGCAACUCAGAACCAAAGCCUGGAACAGGCAGCUGUAUCCAGAGUGGACAGAAGCCCAGAGACUUGACUGCUGGAGAGGUGGUCAAGUGUCCCUCAAGGUCAGUAAUGAUGGGCCUACACUGAUUGGUGCAAAUGCCUCCUUCUCUAUUGCCUUGAACUUCCCUGGAAGCCAAAAGGUAUUGCCAGAUGGGCAGGUUAUCUGGGUCAACAAUACCAUCAUCAAUGGGAGCCAGGUGUGGGGAGGACAGCCAGUGUAUCCCCAGGAAACUGACGAUGCCUGCAUCUUCCCUGAUGGUGGACCUUGCCCAUCUGGCUCUUGGUCUCAGAAGAGAAGCUUUGUUUAUGUCUGGAAGACCUGGGGUGAGGGACUCCCUUCUCAGCCUAUCAUCCACACUUGUGUUUACUUCUUUCUACCUGAUCACCUUUCUUUUGGCCGCCCCUUCCACCUUAACUUCUGUGAUUUUCUCUAAUCUUCAUUUUCCUCUUAGAUCUUUUCUCUUUCUUAGCACCUAGCCCCCUUCAACUCUAUCAUAAUUCUUUCUGGCAACUCUUCCUCAAUUGUAGUCCUACCCCAUGGAAUGCCUCAUUAGGACCCCUUCCCUGUCCCCCCAUAUCACAGCCUUCCAAACACCCUCAGAAGUAAUCAUACUUCCUGACCUCC
rnacentral:lncRNA from 1 species